rnacentral:rRNA from 1 species
AUUGAACGCUGGCGGCAUGCUUUACACAUGCAAGUCGAACGGCAGCGCGGGGCAACCUGGCGGCGAGUGGCGAACGGGUGAGUAAUAUAUCGGAACGUACCCAGAAGUGGGGGAUAACGUAGCGAAAGUUACGCUAAUACCGCAUACGAUCUACGGAUGAAAGUGGGGGACCUUCGGGCCUCAUGCUUGUGGAGCGGCCGAUAUCUGAUUAGCUAGUUGGUAGGGUAAAGGCCUACCAAGGCGACGAUCAGUAGCCGGUCUGAGAGGACGACCAGCCACACUGGGACUCAGACACGGCCCAGACUCCUACGGGAGGCAGCAGGGGGGAAUUGUGGACAAUGGGCGCAAGCCUGAUCCAGCAAUGCCGCGUGAGGGAAGAAGGCCUUCGGGUUGUAAAGCUCUUUUGUCCGGAAAGAAAUGGCUCUGGUUAAUACCUGGGGUCGAUGACGGUACCGGAAGAAUAAGGACCGGCUAACUACGUGCCAGCCGCCGCGGUAA